rnacentral:rRNA from 1 species
CACGGGGGGAGCAAGCGUUGUUCGGAUUCAUUGGGCGUAAAGGGCUCGUAGGUGGCUUUGUAAGUCGGAGGUGAAAUCCCGGAGCUCAACUUCGGAACUGCCUCUGAUACAGCACGUCUUGGGUCCGGAAGAGGUGGGUGGAAUUCCUAGUGUAGAGGUGAAAUUCGUAGAUAUUAGGAAGAACACCGGUGGCGAAGGCGGCCCACUGGUCCGGUACUGACGCUGAGGUGCGAAAGCGUGGGGAGCAAACAGG